rnacentral:rRNA from 1 species
UACGGAGGACGCGAGCGUUAUCCGGACUUAUUGGGUUUAAAGGGUGCGUAGGCGGGAUGCCAAGUCAGCGGUAAAAAUGCGGUGCUCAACGCCGUCGAGCCGUUGAAACUGGCGUUCUUGAGUGGGCGAGAAGUAUGCGGAAUGCGUGGUGUAGCGGUGAAAUGCAUAGAUAUCACGCAGAACUCCGAUUGCGAAGGCAGCAUACCGGCGCCCUACUGACGCUGAGGCACGAAAGCGUGGGUAUCGAACAGG